rnacentral:misc_RNA from 1 species
CACGUAGGGGGCGAGCGUUGUCCGGAUUUAUUGGGCGUAAAGCGUGCGCAGGCGGUUGUGUAAGACAGGUGUGAAAGCCCCGGGCUCAACCUGGGAACUGCAUCCAAAACUGGCCGGCUAGAGUACGGUAGAGGGUGGUGGAAUUUCCUGUGUAGCGGUGAAAUGCGUAGAUAUAGGAAGGAACACCAGUGGCGAAGGCGACCACCUGGACUGAUACUGACACUGAGGUGCGAAAGCGUGGGGAGCAAACAGG